GAAAUCACAGGUGGGCAUGUCGCUGCUACCGCCAUCUCCCUUCUCACGGGAAUUUUCAGGGUAAACUGGCCAUCCGAAAAUAGCAACAACCCAGACUGGCUCCUCACUCCCUUUUCCAUCACUAAAAAUCACAGAGCAGUCAGAGGGACCCAGUAAGACCAAAGGAGGGGAGGACAGAGCAUGAAAACCAAAAUCCAUGCAAAUGAAAUGUAAUUGGCACGACCCCCACCCCCAAAUCUUACAUCUCAAUUCCCAUCCUAAAAAGCACCCAUACUUUAUGCAUCCCCGCAGCCACACGCACACAGCACACGCAGGAACACAGAACACACACGAGCACACAGCACACACACAAACGCACAGCACACAAACGCACAGCACACGCAUGAACACAGCACACACGAGCACACAGCACACACGCGAGCACACAGCACACACGCGAGCACACAGCACACACACAUGCACACACAGCACACACAUGAGCACAGCACACACACCAAUGCACAGCACACACACGCACACACACACACGAGCACACAGCACACACAAACGCACAGCACACACACAAACGCACAGCACACACAGCACACACACGAGCACACAGCACACACACAAAGACAGCACACACAUGCACACACAGCACACACACGAACACAGCACACAGCACACACAUGCACACAGCACACACGCAUGCACAGCAGACACACGAACAGCACACACAGCACACAAACAGCACACACAUGCACACACGGCACACACACUCAUGCACAGCACAUACAUGAACACAGCUCACAGCACACAAACACGCAACACACACGUGCAC
rnacentral:lncRNA from 1 species